AUUAAUAUCUCGAUAAUUAUUGCGAAUAUCGCAAAACGGUAUAGGACUUUUAUGUUCACCUCAACCUGUUCUACGUCCCCACAAAAUGCCCGGAGGAGAGUGUGAGACACCCUGUAUAUGCAAAUAAUUCUACACACAUAUGUAGAAUCUAGAAAUGUAAAAUGUACGUAGCUGUAAUAAGUUCACACAUACCAAAGUUGUCGUGAUAUAUACACGAUAAAUAUAAGAGUAAGAAGAGUAUUUUCUUCCAUUUCACAGGUCCAAGCUUCGACCUCGAGUUUGUGAGUGUCUUGCUCUCUUUCCUUCGUAAAGCUAGUCUUCAUUUUUUCUGUUAUCAAUAAUAAUGGAAAAAAUACAGAUCUAUCCAUUCUCAUAAUCUUUAGCGAAUGUUCUCCCAUAAUCGUGCUAUUAUUAUUAAUUGCAUAUUUUUCCAUCCACAUAAUCAAAUAUUGCUCACGGUGAUAACAUAAAAGAGAUGCGAUUUUCCUAAUAUUUUCCUAGUUUUCCGAUAUAACUUCCUAAUAUAGCUGUAUACUCGUGUUCAUUCACUCGUUUUUGUUUUGCUAUCAUGUGAUAGUCGAAGAAUUUCCUCGAUUUCCAUGCGACGAGAAAUAUUGCGUGGUUUUAGCGUAACACUUCACGGUAUAAAUCUCACUGUUACAAAUAGAUAGAAACAUAGUAACAUAUUCAGUCCACGAUGAAACGAAUAAUUAACCCAAAUAGCGUAUAAUUAGCUGUUAAAAUAAAGUUAAUCAAAUCGAGUUGUUAAGAACCUUGUGUAAAGAGAUUCAUUUACAUUCCAAUAUAUAUCUGGAUGGACAAAAAAUGUCUGUCUCUUACAUCAUUAAUCUUAUAUGCACACAAAAGAUAUAAACAAACCGGUCUAUACGUUACGCACGUACGAAUGGCAUUAAUCGCAUUACUCUUCUGAUCUCUAAUUUAAGAGUACGAAACUGACUCAAAUGCAAUAACCGCAUUUUCUUUCUACGUAACUGUAUGAAAAUCGUGACUGUUACAAUUGCGCAACGGAAUGUCACGUCUUAGUAGAUUAAAUAGUAGAUGUUGCAAUAAUGUAAUGCAGUAUUAUAUGUAGAGUAACAUUCAUGAUUACGUUUUAAUUCAUACAAUGUAAAAAUUAAUUGAGAAUUAGAAAUUAAGGAACGUAACACGCUUGAAUAGUAUUACAACGAUUAACUUUACGCGAUUUAGUUAAUUCAGUAUAUACACAUAUAUGUUUAAUAAUUUAUUGAUAUACAUGAGCAAUUUAUUAAGAAUCUAAAUAUAAAAAUUCUUUCUAUGUAUAAAAAUGAAGCAGAAGAUUAGAGAAUAAUAAAUUUUAGAUAGCGUUCGUGUUAUCUCGUCAAAAUUAAUAUUUUCCGAAAUAAUCUCUGUAAUUUUUACGUUUAUUAAAUAUCUGUUAUUUUCAUUGCGUACUCUGCCAACAUUUUUUAAAUAUAGAGGCAAUUCUGUCGAUGUGUCAUGUUUUGUGUAUAUUUCUCGGGAUACUUACGCAGUAAGAUUGCCAAUAUACAGAAUCGACAAUCUCGAAUUACCGCGUUUAAUCGGCAGGUUAUAUAUAUAUAUAUAUAUAUAUAUAUAUAUUAUCAUAAGGUAUUCCUUUUCAAAAUAUACAUUGUACGUUGUUUUAUAUAUAUAUAUUUAUCGAAGCAAAACAUUUGACACGUACACAUACCUCAUAAUCUCGGAAAUGGAAGAUUACAAAGGUAUGUUACAAAGGGAAACAAGCAUAUAUUUAAUUCAAUGGGUAUUCAAUUAUUAUUCCUAAAGAUAUAUAUCAUACUGCAUUCUUAACAUGUAUAUAAUCAAUUUAUAAUGGUAAAAUUAUAAGAAGCAUAAGCGAAAAAGAUAGUAUUUAUAUACUUCUUAGAAAUUUACUACUUACAUCUGAAUGUUCGAAUGUUUCUUUCACUCGUUGAAAUGUGUCAUGUGAAAUGCAGUCCUGCUUUCCAAUAUGGUAUGCAUCCGUCAAAGCAUUUCUCUCUUUUAUCUGUGAUAAAUUUCCCUCUAAUCACUUCAGAAACGUUGUAUAACUGUACAAGUAACCGAAUGUACUUGCAGAUAUGUGAAGAUUUAUUGUCAGUUUUCUUACUUCGAUUAAAUGCGCAUUAGUUUAUAUAGGGAAGGGAACUAUCACGGACUACUAAAUCACAAAUAAUCUUUGAAACGUGUAUAUGUGUAUUGAAAGCAGUAUAUUCGCUAAUCAAAACAGUUGAGGAAAGAGAUUGAAAAAUGUCACAUGUAUGUUGAUACAGAUAAACACGAUAGAUUGAUACGUCUGCAGUCUUGACAUUAGAAGUGUUUACAAUGUUAUAUAGAUCAAUAAAGACAUCCAAAAUACAUAGGAAAAUUUUCGUUUACAGAAGUCAUAAGCGUCAUAAGUUUGUCACAUAAGUAUGUAUCACUAGUAUAACAUUUCUAAAAAAUUACUAUGAUAACUAAUCUAUAAUAACAAAUUUAAUUAAUCAUCUAUGAUAUUAAUAUAUUAUUUCUCCGAAUUAGCAAUAGUUAUUUUAUAUAUAUUAUAUAUAAGAUCUUUUGUUGAUCUUUUGUCGAGUAUUUCUUCUCUUUUUAGAAUAAUAGGAUCUGUAUGUUUAAGCACACGAUAAUGUGAAUUAACUUAUUUCGAUUGGCACUCUUUCAAUUUUGUGAUAGCGCGUAUUUAUAUCCUAAUAUUGCACUGGAGGACAACUUAAAAUACAUAUAUUUUAUUAUGUAAUAUUUUAUUAAGUAAUUUAUUAAGUAAUAUUUAAUAUUCCUACGUUAGUUUUAUUAUAUUUGCUGUCGAAUACUCAGAGAUAAAUUAUAGAACAUGAAACAUCCCUUAGGAAAAAUUACUUUAAGAUGUUCAAUUAACUUAAAGUUGCUUAAAAUUACUUAAAGUUAUUUAUAGUUAACUGUAAGUAACUUUAAAUUAAGUUAAUUUGAACAACUUAAUUUUUCCUAAGGAAUUACACUGAAUAUCCUUUUAUGAAAUGUAAAUUAAAAAUAUUUACUUUUCAAAAUAACAGACCCUCUUAGACAAGAACACAGCAAGACUUGUAUUUGUAAUUGUAAUAUGUUUUCAUAAUUUCUAACAAAGCUAUACGUUCAAAACGAUGAGGUGUAAUACUUUGUCCAAACAAUUCUAAAUCAUUACGAUACUAGGUAUAAUAACUGAUAAUUUUUCGAGCACAAUAUCUUUACAUUUGUCCAAAAAAAUCAUACAAUGGCAGGACUUUGAUACCAUCGAAUUUCGUUUUGAUGCUAGCUAGUAUCAAACAUAUGCUAUAUACUAACAUUUGAUAUAGACUAUAAAUUCUGUUACAUUAUUAUUAUUAUUAUUAUAAGAACAUUGUAAUAUAUUGCAAAAACUAUUUAAGAAUAAAUGUGUUCAAUUUGUUACAUA